AACCCAGAUGUUUUUAAUUUCUCCCCAUUAAAGGGCAUAGCUUGUUAGGGCUUGUUCUUCCCAAAGUGGUGAUGUAAGCCCUGAGCGUAACAGAGAAGUGGAACCAUCACAAUUGAGCUUGUCAGAUAUUGCAAGACCCUACGUUGUCCUCUUGCUGAUAUUGCAUGACUUUAGAGGCGAAUGGAAGCUGCUGAGAUAUACUGCAUCUGUUCCUGCCCUGAGUGACUGCCUCACUGCUGAAAUUACUGGAGCUUGUACAUCAUCAAAAUAAUGGCAUAAAUCAAGGAAGAAGAAAAAAAAAUUGAGGAAACAAGAUCCAACACAAAAGAGAAGCAAAGGAAUUUUGUGACUGUUGGUAAAGAGAGACCCCAGUGACAGCUGUGCAGCAGGCCUGAAAAUGAGCCAAUCCAGAUUGGAUCAGGGCAGAGGCUCGAGGAGCGACUUCUUCAAGAAGAUAAAAUUAAUGAAAUACCUAAUGGUCUUGGGGAUAUUGAGAUUUGCAUAAGUUCUGGAGGCUAUGGGGGAUAAAUUAAUGUUAAAUAAAUGAAAAGUAAAAAAU
rnacentral:lncRNA from 1 species